GCUUCGUUUCUUUCAUUCAUUUUGUUUCAAAUUUAUUUCUUUACUUUAUUUCUCUGUAUAUCACAGUUAAGUGUUUUCCAUUCUUGCCACCCCUCCCCCUGAAACGCCCCUGUCUCUUUGUUAAACUUGAACAUGGAUUUAGAUUUGAACUUGUUGAUACACGUAGCACGGGGCGUGAUGGUAGAGGAAGAAGUCCAAUGGAUGUGGUCCUGAGGGUCUCCGGUCUGAUUUCCAGAUUUCCAUUUGGGUACUUAGGGCCUAAUACUUUAAAGUAGGGUUAUUGGUAUAGUUGCUUACUUUUUUUGGUUCACUGAAUCAAGUUUUGAAAUGUUGCAGUAAUUUACAAUUGUAAAAUGUACAAGUCUGUCAUUUGAAUCUGUUUGUACUUGGAAAAGCAAAUCGUGUUCCAGGUUUCUAGUGCAAAGAACUUGCGACAAUUUUUGCUUGUUUUGAUAGAAAUUAUGUGAAAUCAGCUCGGGCCCACCGAAUCUAAAAGUCAUAUUGUAUUGCUUCUCUCACAACCUUGUCGGACACAUAGCCAGCCUGGGUCUUUUUCUUGUUCAAUUCAGACACAAAUUUAGGCCUAGUAGUCGGCAGCUAAAAUUCAUAUUUAUUUGAUAAAUGUCCUAUAUUUUGAUAUUCAAAUAUUGUUAAACAUGCUCCACUCUAUUAUAUAACAGUUAUGUGGUUUACUUUUAUUUCAAGAUUUUUGAGAUACACAGUAUUUAGAAUAAAAAAAAAAUGUCACAAACA